AUGGAAGCUAUGAUUGUUACAACAAAUCAGGGGCUACACGGAAUUUUAGGUACUGGCUUCAACUUGGUAAGUUUUUGUUGAAGUAAUGGUCAGCAUGCAGCAACCAAGACUGUCAAAGGCACUACAUGCAGAAGCUGCUGGUUCACCUAGUCAGCAAGCUGUUUAUGUUUCAUUUUGUAAUUUUAAGUUAGAGUAAUGUAACUUAGUUGCUUUAUAACUAUGUUAGGUUUAUGUUUGAUGUAAUUUUGAUGUUGACUGAGCUGAUAAAUCAGCUUUGUUUGUUUACUCAAGCUAAUUAGCACAAGUUACUAUGUGUAUUAGUGGUAGUAGGUGAAGUUUAGGUCAACCUACUGUUUUGUCAAGAUUGUAAACUUGUUUUAUGUAUUGGCUUUGUGCCAUAUUUAGUUUGAUGAAUGAAUUCAAGAAGUUAUCAUCCAUAUGCUCUCCAUUUUUUAGUUUUGCUUAAAAUUCAUUUGAGUUUUCUGCUUUGUUUCUCCUACAAGUCACGAGACUUGCCAUACAAGCAUUCUGCUGAAGCUUGCUGCUGCUGCCUCUUGCUCCAACAAUUGGUAUCUAGAGCCACAUUCUUAGAGGACCUGUUGUAGUUCAGUAUCAAAACAAUGGCAUCAUCAGGUUUUUCACCAGCUUCACCACCUGUCUUCAAUGGAGAGGGCUUCAACAUUUGGGCAGUUAAGAUGAGGACUUACCUGUAGGCAUUCGACCUAUGGGAAGUUGUUAACACAGAUGCUGAGCCAGCACCUCUUCGAGCUAAUCCAACAGUUGCUCAAAUAAGGCAACACACUGAUGAAAGGACAAAAAGGCACAAGGCCAUGUCAUGCAUACAGAAUUGUGUGACAGAUGUGAUCUUUAUGAGGAUCAUGGCCUGUGAGACACCAAAGGAGGCUUGGGACAAGCUGAAAGAAGAAUUUCAGGGGACUGAGAAAACAAGGCAACAACAGCUGCUCAAUUUGAGAAGAGAUUUCGAAAAUCUCAAAAUGAAAGAGGAAGAAACAGUUAAGCAGUACUCAGACCGGAUUAUGGCUGUUGUAAACAGCAUAAGGCUCCUAGGAGAGCAAUUCAGUGAAGCUAGAAUGGUUGAGAAAGUCAUGUCCACUCUACCAGAGAGGUAUGAAGCUAAAAUUUCAUCCCUCGAAGACUCAAGGGACUUGACAACUAUCUCCUUAACUGAGCUAAUCAAUGCCUUGUAUGCACAAGAGCAAAGAAGAGCUAGCAGACAAGAGGAGCACCAGGAAGGGGCUUUUCAAGCCAAAGAAGCCUCGAGCAUCAAAACUCAUAAAGGCAAAAAGUUCUGGAAAAACAGGCCUAAGCCUGAUGCUGCUAGGAGCAGUGACCAACUCUGCAGACAUUGUAAAAGAGCUGGUCAUCCAGAAGAUAGAUGCUGGUUUAGACCAGAUGCAGUAUGCCAACACUGCAAGAAAAAAGGCCAUGUUGAAAAGUUUGCAAGAAUAGAAGCAAACCAAGACAGAAUCAAUUUCAGCAACAAAAGGUGGAAGCUCGAGUAGCUGAAGAAAGCAGUGAUCAAGAAGAACAUGUUUUUGCUGUGUCAUGUGCAGCAAAUCAGAAGAAGGGUUCAAAGGGUUGGCUUCUAGACAGUGGGUGCACAAACCACAUGUCACCAGAUGCAACUAUCUUCAAAACCCUGGACAGAACCUGCAAAACCAAAGUAAAAAUUGGAAAUGGUCAGUUAAUCAAUGCUGAAGGAAGAGGAGAUGUGCUGAUUCAUACUCCUACAGGUGGCAAAAUCAUUUCAAAUGUACUUUUGGUACCUGAAAUCGAUAGGAACCUUCUCAGUAUAACUCAACUACUUGAGAAAGGUUACUCAGUUGUUUUCAAGGAGAAAGAAUGUCAAAUUUUUGAUCCAAGUGGAUCAAAUCUUAUAACAGUCACCAUGACUGAUAAAUGUUUUGAAGUAGACUGGCCAAAUGACUCACAUUCAGCCUGCAUAGCCUCCACUGAUGACUCGAGACUCUGGCAUCAGAGGCUUGGACAUGCAAACUACAAAUCCAUAGCCCGCAUGGUCAAUGAAGGUCUGGCAGAAAAUUUCAUUGAUUCAGUGAAGAAUGAUGAGCUUUGUGAGAUAUGUCAGCAAGGAAAAUUGGCAAGAUUGCCAUUUCCAACAAGCACAACAUGGAGAGCAUCAGAGAAGCUCCAGCUUGUGCAUACAGGUGUGUGUGGACCAAUGAAGACUGAGUCUCUCAAAGGAAGUAGGUACUUUAUUUUAUUUAUUGAUGACUUAACAAGAUACUGCUGGAUUUAUUUUCUAAAACAGAAAUCAGAAGUACCAUCUAUGUUCCUGAAGUAUAAGGCUGCUGUUGAAACUGAGUCUGGUUGCAAACUUAGAGCAAUGAGGUCAGAUAAUGGAACUGAGUACACCUCAGCUCAGUUCCAAGUCUACUGUGAAGAAGCAGGUAUCAAACACCAGUUGACUAAUGUGUAUACACCCCAACAGAAUGGGGUCAGUGAAAGGAAAAACAGAAGCUUGAUGAACAUGGCAAGAUGUCUUCUGUUUGAGAAGAAUUUGCCCAAAAGUCUGUGGGCUGAAGCUGUUAACACAGCAGUUUAUCUCCAAAACAGACUCCCAACCAAGGCUCUGGCUGAGAAGACUCCAUUUGAAGCCUGGUUUGGGUUUAAGCCAUCACUGGCUCAUCUCAGAACCUUUGGUUGUCUGUGCUAUACUCAAGUUCCAGCUGAGAAGAGAAGCAAGCUAGAUAAAAGAGCUCAAGCAGGGAUCCUGAUCGGCUACAGCUUGGUUAAGAAGGGCUACAGAAUUCUAGAACCUGCUACAAACAAGAUAUUGGUCAGCAGGGAUGUUGUUUUCAAUGAAAAAGGAUACUGGAAUUGGGAGAAGGCUGAACCAGAGGCAGUGGCUGAAGAUCUGGCAGUGGACCAAGUUGAAAAUGAUGAAAACACACCUGAAAUGGAUGUAGAUGAUGUUCCAAUCAGAGGCACUCGAUCACUGGCUGAUGUUUAUGAAAGAGCACAAGUGGCUACUGUUGAACCAAGUUGCUUUGAAGAAGCAGAAAACCAGGAGGACUGGAAGCAAGCAAUGAUUGAAGAAAUCAGAAUGAUUGAAAAGAAUCAGACCUGGAGUCUGGUUGAUAAACCAACAAACAGGAAGAUUAUUGGUGUCAAAUGGGUUUAUCGAGUAAAGAACAAUGCUGAUGGUAGCCUAAACAAGUUAAAGGCUAGAUUGGUUGUGAAAGGCUUCAGUCAAAGGUAUGGAUCAGACUACCUGGAAACCUUUGCACCAGUGGCCAGGCUAGACACUAUUAGACUGCUAGUUGCCUUAGCAGCACAAAAACAGUGGCUGAUACACCAACUUGAUGUAAAAUCAGCAUUUCUGAAUGGAUUUCUUGAAGAGGAGAUUUAUGUGGAGCAACCUCAAGGUUUCAAGGUGUCUGGCAAAGAAGAUAUGGUGUACAAACUCAACAAAGCCUUGUAUGGCUUGAAACAGGCUCCAAGGGCCUGGUAUAGCAGAAUAGAUGGCUAUCUGACCAGUCAAAGAUUUGAAAGAAGUCUUAGCGAGCCAACUCUGUAUGUUAAAUCAACUAGUGCUGAAACUCAGCUCAUUGUCUCAAUAUAUGUCGAUGACCUACUGGUGACAGGAGGAGAUCAUGAGAUGCUAAGCAGUUUUAAAGUCAAAAUGCAACAGCACUUUGAAAUGUCAGACUUGGGAUUGAUGUCUUACUUCUUAGGCAUGGAAGUAACUCAAGCUAAGAAUGGGAUUUGGCUAAGUCAAAAGACCUUUGCUAUGAAGGUUCUCAACAAAUUCUCAAUAGAGAAUUGCAAAGCAACCAGCACACCAGUUGCUGUUGGAGAAAAACUCUCGAGCCAAGACAAGCAUGAAAAGGUUUGUGAAACAACCUAUCGAAGUCUAGUUGGAUGUUUGUUGUAUUUGACUGCUACUAGACCUGACAUAAUGUAUGCUGCGAGUCUACUCUCGAGGUUUAUGCAUUCUUCAAAUGAAAGCCAUUUUAGAGCUGCAAAAAGGGUUCUAAGAUACAUCAAAGGAACUUUGUCCUAUGGAAUGCAGUUUACCAAGGCAGAGAACUUGAGGCUAGUUGGAUAUUGUGACAGUGAUUGGGCUGGUUCUUUGGAUGACAUGAAGAGCACUACAGGUUAUGCAUUCAACAUAGGCUCUGCUAUGAUAUGCUGGAGCUCAAAGAAGCAAGGAGUAGUGGCUCAGUCAACUGCAGAAGCAGAAUAUGUGGCUGCUGCUGCAGCAGUCAAUCAAGCCAUAUGGCUUAGAAAAAUUUUGAAAGAUAUCAAUCAUGAGCAAAAGGAAGCAACUGAGAUAAUGUGUGACAACCAAUCAGCAGUUGCUAUUGCAAAAAAUCCUGUUUUUCAUGGAAGGACCAAGCACUUCAACAUCAAACUUCAUGCAGUUCGGGAAAUGGAACAAGCUCAUGUUGUUAAGCUGAUACAUUGCAGUUCUGAAGAGCAAAUUGCUGAUAUUUUAACAAAAGCACUAAGUGUUUCCAAGUUUCAACACCUGAGAGCUAAUAUGGGAGUUUGCAACAUGCUAACCAAGGAGGAGUGUUGAAGUAAUGGUCAGCAUGCAGCAACCAAGACUGUCAAAGGCACUACAUGCAGAAGCUGCUGGUUCACCUAGUCAGCAAGCUGUUUAUGUUUCAUUUUGUAAUUUUAAGUUAGAGUAAUGUAACUUAGUUGCUUUAUAACUAUGUUAGGUUUAUGUUUGAUGUAAUUUUGAUGUUGACUGAGCUGAUAAAUCAGCUUUGUUUGUUUACUCAAGCUAAUUAGCACAAGUUACUAUGUGUAUUAGUGGUAGUAGGUGAAGUUUAGGUCAACCUACUGUUUUGUCAAGAUUGUAAACUUGUUUUAUGUAUUGGCUUUGUGCCAUAUUUAGUUUGAUGAAUGAAUUCAAGAAGUUAUCAUCCA
rnacentral:lncRNA from 1 species